CCCGGCCUACGGGGGGUAGCAGUGAGGAAUAUUGGUCAAUGGCCAAAGGGCUGAACCAGCCGAGCCGCGUGAAGGAAUAAGGCCCUACGGGUCGUAAACUUCUUUAGUCAGGGAACAAAGGGAGCCACGCGUGGCGCUGUGAGUGUACCUGAAGAAUAAGCAUCGGCUAACUCCGUGCCAGCAGCCGCGGUAAUACGGAGGAUGCGAGCGUUAUCCGGAUUUAUUGGGUUUA
rnacentral:rRNA from 1 species